rnacentral:rRNA from 1 species
CANCCCCUAUCCCUUGGCUUGCCUUCGCCUCCACGACUCGGCCGCGUCGACCGCACGACAAGUGACGAACUACGAAAGGAAUUGACGGGGGCCCGCACAAGCGGUGGAGCAUGUGGUUUAAUUCGAAGCAACGCGAAGAACCUUACCAGGUCUUGACAUCCCGAUGCUAUUUCUAGAGAUAGAAAGUUACUUCGGUACAUCGGUGACAGGUGGUGCAUGGUUGUCGUCAGCUCGUGUCGUGAGAUGUUGGGUUAAGUCCC